rnacentral:rRNA from 1 species
AGUGAACGCUGGCGGUAGGCCUAACACAUGCAAGUCGAACGGCAGCACAGUAAGAGCUUGCUCUUACGGGUGGCGAGUGGCGGACGGGUGAGGAGUACAUCGGAACCUACUUUUUCGUGGGGGAUAACGUAGGGAAACUUACGCUAAUACCGCAUACGACCUACGGGUGAAAGCAGGGGAUCUUCGGACCUUGCGCGAUUGAAUGAGCCGAUGUCGGAUUAGCUAGUUGGCGGGGUAAAGGCCCACCAAGGCGACGAUCCGUAGCUGGUCUGAGAGGAUGAUCAGCCACACUGGAACUGAGACACGGUCCAGACUCCUACGGGAGGCAGCAGUGGGGAAUAUUGGACAAUGGGCGCAAGCCUGAUCCAGCCAUACCGCGUGGGUGAAGAAGGCCUUCGGGUUGUAAAGCCCUUUUGUUGGGAAAGAAAAGCAGCAGGUUAAUACCCCGCUGUUCUGACGGUACCCAAAGAAUAAGCACCGGCUAACUUCGUG